rnacentral:rRNA from 1 species
UGGGGAAUUUUGGACAAUGGGGGCAACCCUGAUCCAGCCAUGCCGCGUGAGUGAAGAAGGCCUUCGGGUUGUAAAGCUCUUUCGGCGGGGAAGAAAUGGCAACGGCUAAUAUCCGUUGUUGAUGACGGUACCCGCAUAAGAAGCACCGGCUAACUACGUGCCAGCAGCCGCGGUAAUACGUAGGGUGCGAGCGUUAAUCGGAAUUACUGGGCGUAAAGCGUGCGCAGGCGGUUUCGUAAGACAGACGUGAAAUCCCCGGGCUCAACCUGGGAACUGCGUUUGUGACUGCGAGGCUAGAGUACGGCAGAGGGGGGUAGAAUUCCACGUGUAGCAGUGAAAUGCGUAGAGAUGUGGAGGAAUACCGAUGGCGAAGGCAGCCCCCUGGGUUAGUACUGACGCU